CAUGGAUCCCAUGCAUUGUGACUCCUUAUUAGAAAAAGACAAAAAUUACACGCUUAAGUAUUUCUAAACCUAAAAUCUAUGGAGUCCACUAUCUACACACCUGUACCUUUUUGAUUUUGAUCAUCUAGCCAGCGAGCAUCUCACUCACAUCAAUGUACUGCAGUUACUGCCACAGAUACAGAUGCAGUAAUACCCAAUGGCACUCCACUUACAGGGAAAGAACUCUCCGUUAGCAUGAAAGUUCCACUCUGACAUUUCUCCUAGAUGUAGUGGUAGCAUUUUCUGUAUGAUAUUGUGAAGCACACUUGUAAUAUUCCUCAACAAUUAACAAUUAAAGUAGAUAAUGUACACACCUCUAACUAGAAAACACCAGUGCAUCCGUUUUUUCCUCCCUUCUCUGAGUGUUAUUCUCAGUUUUUGUUCUUAUUUUUUAAACUUCAUUGGAAGGACAGAAGUCACGAUUACAAAAGACCAUUAAAAUUACAGCAUCUACAUGGUGACAUUUCUACAGCAUCUAAUGACAUUUUGAGAGCUUCCAGAGGUUAGACCAAUCUGGAACAUUCUCCUCUCCAUGGCUACCCAGGGUAGAAAGGGUUCACAAGAGAGGCAUCUUGCUCUUUCCCUGGUAACGAACUUAGCAGCUCGAGACAGGGAGAGAAGGACACAAAAUCCUGAGACAAAACAGUCAUCAGUGGUUGAUACUUCUCUCAUUGUUUUACUAAAUACUGCGAAGAGAAGACACAGCCGUAUCAACCAGAGGCACAGUGAGGUAUCAUGGGUUCAUGUGCUAAAAGCAGAGACAUCAUGCGGCUGAGUACCUCAUCAUCCAGAGCAGACAGUUUUGUUCCAGGAGCACUGAAAGAUUAAAAAGAAAAAUACUCGUAGAGUGGAAAAAACAAGUUAACCCAGUGAAAGCAGAAACUGAUCAGAUAUUCAGGAAAAGGCUUAAAAGACCAGAGAAAAACAACUGCCACUAAAGCCCCUGCAGAUAGUUUGCCUCAGAACAAAGACAGGCACACGCGGCAAUAUUUUUGGUUUGGAACAACUGCAGUUACAGAGAGGAUCUGAGAUACCUCUUCCUUCUGAAGAACUUCCCAUCUCCAAGCUACUGCAAAAGCCCGCCAAGCACAAAUUCCUGCCUUCCUCACUGCCAAGCCAUGAGGCAGAGAUCACACGCAGGAUUCGGCCAAGCUGAGACACAGUGACUACAAAGCAGAAGAAGAAAACAGAUGAAAUCGAUCUUUCUUGAAGAAAUACUUUAAAAUUCAUUGUCACUCCCCCAGAUGACUAACAACUAUAUGUGUUUAGAAAUGUGAUCAAUGUAUUCAUACACUCACUGAAAUAUUUUCUGAAAGAGAAGGAGGGACCGUCCUGAGACAACAACAACAGUUAUGCACUUCUACAUCUACUGUACUGCUAUCAUAGCAAUUUGGGCACUCAAUAAGCAUUGUUAUCAUCAGACAAAUGUGAAGGGAAGCAACAAAUAAUCAAAUCAUGAAAUAAAUCUUGGCUAACGGAUACAAGUUUACCAACUUCAAAGUCCACAGAAGUUGCUACCAAGAACCUGAUAAGUAAUGAUCCAGUGAGAAAUUCCUAAAUAAAUACAAGAAAGGGAAAAGAAUAUGAUUCCACUGCUUAUGCUACCCAGGUAUAUUUAUGAAGACCCAGCAACAUUCUAAGUGCAAGCACUGUUCAGAGUUAGUCGAACAAAUACCUGUAUCUUAGCAGAAAAUUCUAGAGCCAAACAGAAUGCAGAAAUAUUAAAGCACAGACUAUAAAUAGGAGAAUACCAACAAAAACUAUAAGGACUGCCCAUGGCAGAGAACAAUUUUUUUUUCUAAGCCCCUUAUAUCAAAGUUGAAUUCAACUCUGCAUUUGAGAAGAAGAUGACAGAGCUAGCAAUAGCAGAAGCACUGCAUCUUCACAGGAAUCUCGCAGUGCAGGCAACAUGAAGCUAGUAGACACAUUAAAAUGAACAAUAGAUCUCAGCUUCAAAGGAAAAAAGAAUCACUCUCAGAUUUACAACAAUACUGUCAUAAAAUAUCCAUAUUUAAAGAAGACAAUAUAAAAGGAAUCAAAAUACAUUUCUCC
ensembl:lncRNA